CUCAACCUCGGAAUUGCAGUCGAUACUGUUGUGACUCGAGUCCGGUAGAGGAGAAUGGAAUUCCCGGUGUAGCGGUGAAAUGCGCAGAUAUCGGGAGGAACACCAGUAGCGAAGGCGGUUCUCUGGGCCGGUACUGACGCUGAGGAGCGAAAGCGUGGGGAGCAAACAGGAUUAGAUACCCUGGUAGUCCACGCCGUAAACGUUGGAUACUAGGUGUGGCGGUCUUACCAACGACUGCCGUGCCGAAGCUAACGCAUUAAGUAUCCCGCCUGGGGAGUACGGCCGCAAGGCUAAAACUCAAAGGAAUUGACGGGUCCCCGCACAAGCGGCGGAGCAUGCGGCUUAAUUCGAUGCAACCCGAAGAACCUUACCUGGGUUUGACAUCACGGGAAAAGCUGUAGAAAUACAGUGUCCGUAAGGGCCC
rnacentral:rRNA from 1 species